rnacentral:rRNA from 1 species
GGACUACACGGGUUUCUAAUCCCGUUCGCUCCCCUAGCUUUCGUGCCUCAGCGUCAGAAGAGACCCAGUAAGCCGCUUUCGCUCCUGGUGUUCCUUACGAUAUCAACGCAUUUCACCGCUCCACCGUAAGUUCCGCUUACCUCUGCCUCCCUCAAGCCCAGUAGUUUAGGGCGCAAUUCCUCGGUUAAGCCGAGGGCUUUCACACCCUACUUUCUGAGCCGCCUACGCACCCUUUAAGCCCAGUAAAUCCGAAUAACGUUUGGACGGUACGUAUUACCGCGGCUGCUGGCAC